rnacentral:rRNA from 1 species
CCUACGGGAGGCAGCAGUGAGGAAUCUUGGUCAAUGGGCUUACGCCUGAACCAGCCAAGUCGCGUGAGGGAAGACUGCCCUAUGGGUUGUAAACCUCUUUUGUCAGGGAGCAAUUGGCGCUACGUGUAGCGUUAUCGAGAGUACCUGAAGAAAAAGCAUCGGCUAACUCCGUGCCAGCAGCCGCGGUAAUACGGAGGAUGCGAGCGUUAUCCGGAUUUAUUGGGUUUAACGGGUGCGUAGGCGGAAUGCCAAGUCAGCGGUAAAAUCGCGGGGCUCAACCUCGCUCCGCCGUUGAAAAUGGCGUUCUUGAGUGGGCGAGAAGUAUGCGGAAUGCGUGGUGUAGCGGUGAAAUGCAUAGAUAUCACGCAGAACUCCGAUUGCGAAGGCAGCAUACCGGCGCCCAACUGACGCUGAAGCACGAAAGCGUGGGUAGCGAACAGGAUUAGAUACCCCAGUAGUC